GCUUUUAGCUUUUUAUUUUUGUAUUAACAGGAGUCUUAUUAUACAUAGGUCUGAUAAAACUGGUUUAUGAUCUUCAGUCUGUUUCCAGUGCUGCAUAACUAGAUAACGUAUGAAGGAAAAACGACGACGAACAAAAAAACUAAUUGCUUGGAAGACUUAGCUGAAUCUAUCCAUGAAAACAGAAUCAAUUAAACAUGUAUGUGUUACUUAGACUAAAUAUAAAUAACCCAUAUAAAUGGUAGCUCAAACAUCUCAAGUGUUUCAGAGAAUGUUAGAAUCUAUUGUUUAAAGUUUUAAUUUCAUCUCUAGGCAAGUUCUGUUUCCAAACAUUAGUAUUAGUUGGUGAUAUUUCCCCUUCAUAGGGAAGGUAAAAAAGGUUUGUAGAGGUGGCAAACAAUAUUUGGUUUAAACUAGCAGGAGACAUAGGAAUUCCAAGAAAGGCAAAAAUCCUUUCAGUAGUUUUCUGAGGAAAAUGCACAAUAUCUUCAAACUUGACCAGCUGGUAGCUAGUAGGCAGCAAAUCUGUAUUUAUUCUCAAGGCUGCUGCUGUAUUUGCUAGCCACAAGUGAGACAAGAGGGACACUGCAUUUGAUUUGGAUUUUGAUAAUUCUUUCCUCAAUGGUUCAUACUCCAAAGCAUAACCCGAAUUUAAGUUACAUUUGCCUUUACCUCCCUCUAUUUUAAACAAUUUUGCUAAAUGCUCUGGUACAUUCUUCAAAGAAUAAAGACUUGGUUUACUAUUGUACAACAUUGAAUAAAUCCAUGCCCGAGGGUCUCUUACUAUGUACAAUGCCCUCAUCGAAGCUCCUAAAACUUCCUGAAAAAAAUGAAGCUUUAAUGUCCAGCUUCCACUGCUUAAACUGAGCACAGGACGUGCACUUGGGUAGUAAACCAGGUGUCUCCUCAAAGCCCUAAUAUAUUCAGCAUCUCUAUCAAAGGCGCCUUUCAUUUGACUUCUUUGUUCUGGGAAAGACUCUCUCCUUUUAAAUUUUCUUUUUUUGUCCUUAUUCAUUGCAAAAUAUUGGGCCAGUUUACCCCUAUUGGGAUCAUGCAGAUGGAUGUUUUGCAAAUGUAAUUUUGUGUCCUGGACUAAAGACUGCAACCAGCCUCGGAGUAAACGAAAAUGCCCACUGCGGAUAUCUGACACCUUCCAUUCACAAGCAUCUACAAAUGAGUCGAUUUCCAACUCAGUUUCAGGAAUAUCAAUGUAGGCCGUAGGAACCCUGAUGUAGAGAAAAUCACUACUGUUGAAAAAAAGUUGUUUGAGAAUUUCGGCUCCUGAACCGGGAAGUGAGGUAAUGACAACAUCAGGAAGAUCCAUGUGGUGCCCUUCAGAAGACAAAGACUUCUUGCUUCCCUCAGCCUCUGUCCUUGUCCAUUUUGCACAAAUGGGCUGACUACAAGUGCUCCACACAUCCAAAAGCUCAAUAAACCACAAGGCAAUAACAAGUAUUAAUAUCCAUCGCAUUAGUUUUCUAAAAGAAAAGUAAAAAUGCCAUUGGAAAGUUAAAAUCACCAAGCUAAUGCACAAAAUUAAUCCAACUGCUAUAUUAAAUUUAAAUCCAAAGGGGAAAAUAAUCCUAUCAUGUCUUACAGGCUUUACUAUUGCUUGAGUGCCCAAACCAAAUCGGGUUAUUUGGCCUUGAUCAGCCACACUGGCAAAGCCACCGAAUCCCAGAUAAUUGAAUCUUGUCUUCAGGUUAUGGUAAUCAGUUACAAUAGAAACAACAUGUUCAGUAUUAUUGACAUUGAGAGAAAUCUGAAGUCCAGAAUUGGAACUAUCAAUAAAUCUGCAGCUGGAGACAUUGAUAUACGGCCCAUAAAAGACAUAUGCAAUUCUUGUGAUUGUGGAUUCCAUCUGAAAAGUAACAUUAACAAAUUGAGUCCAUCGUUUUUUAAAUUCAGCAGCUUGCUCUGCUUCCUGUAUACUGGCCAUGGGACUAUUGCCAUGAAGAUCAAACCAAAACAUUUUGUAAUGUGCAUCCCACACAUCCAUCAUGGCACCAUUAUACCUAUUCAUAAACUUAUAUGGGAUAUAUUUAAAAUCAAUAUCCAAAUUAUGAAAGAAGGCACUGACAGAAUUUAUUGGGGAAUCUUCUUGCCUCUCAAUAUGAUCAACAACUAGCAGAGUUUGGGAAUUCAAGAGAAGCAAAGCACGAUAUACACUUUUCAGUCUCAUCGCUGAAGAAUAAGCAGACACGGCUUCCCCACUCACAAAUAUCAUUUCCCCAUGUUGAGAGGCAGUGAUUAUUUCCCCAGCUGCAUCACCAACCUCCUCGCCAGUCCACUUAAGCCACUGCGCACAUUCUCCCAAUUGACCUUCCCAGGGCUUAUUACACUGGCUUGAGGGUGAUGGAGCAAACACCAAUACAUUGUUAAGGUGGCUCAACUUGGGUCCAUAGAGAGCUUCAGAAACAAAUACUUGUCCAUUGGGGGCAAAAGUAAAUGAGUUCUGAUCUGGAUGCUCAUGUCCUGGGUUAAAACUUCUCCACCCAUCAAUCCAGGAAUAUGGCUGAAAAUGAACUAUGUCAUACACAGCUCGUCCCCCCAGCUUCCCAGAUUUAAAAGACACAAAGGUAUUGGUCUGUGUGUUUGGCAACCCAGCCCCAUAAGUAACCACACCCCAGUUAGGGAAUGUGUGUAUUUUUGCAGUACCAUAAUCAGCAGGCGGCUGUGGUGUGAGCUGGGGAUCAUACCAGAUGUAUUCCGUGUGAAGAGUACUCCACCUUUGGGCCGUUGAAGGAACCAUCGGUCCAUCUUUAGGUCGGUGCUUUCUAAUUUGCUGAGCUAACCAAUUUCCAGCUCCAUUCUUUAAGAUGAACUUAUCCAAGAAAACUAGCUGGCUCUCUGGACCAUAAAACCAAUUAUAAUUGGAAUCUGCUAUUCCCACAGUUCUUUGGAAGCCAGGUAAAAGGGUGGCAUAAUAGAACCAAAAGUGCAUCUUUAACCAGUUAUUAUCCAAGUUGUUGAUAUUAAAAUGGCGCUGGGCCAGAAAAACAUACUGUGUGAUGGAUUUAGCUGUGUAGCUUCCAUAGGCCACACCUUCAUCCAAAGAACCAUCAACAAUAUGAUUCAAUAGAAACAUUGUCUUUUCCAUGACAUCCACUACAGCCUGUUUCCAUAUAUUUGCUUUAGAUCCUUUAUCUACUCCAGUCACCAAGGCCCCUGUGAGUAAUGCUAUCAUAUUAGUGGCUUGGUGGUUAUGGAGAAGCUGUUUGCCCCACGAGCGGACCUUGGAAUACUCGUACAUUUCCUCAGUAAUAACCCAUAUUUUUUCCAGGUAUUUUUGU
rnacentral:antisense_RNA from 1 species